rnacentral:misc_RNA from 1 species
AACAUUCUAUUGUUUGUAUUUUGUUGCUUACAACUUAACAAACAGCACACUCUAUACACUCUCUCUCUCUCUCUGGAUCUUGCAGAUCUGAGUAUAGACCAAAUUUUUUGUUCCUACAACCGAAUUUCUCCUCUGAAGAUUCAAUCUGAUUCAACAUUUGCUGGAUUUGAUCUGGUAAGGUGACUAGAAGAAAAAAAUGGAGAAGUCAUGCUCAUUGUUGAUACAUUUUGAUAAGGGUACGCCUGCUCUUGCCAAUGAGAUCAAAGAAGCACUUGAAGGAAAUGAUAUCCCCGCCAAGGUUGAAGCUAUGAAGAAAGCCGUAAUGCUUUUAUUGAAUGGAGAAACCCUACCUCAGCUCUUCAUCACUAUUAUUAGAUAUGUCUUGCCUUCUGAGGAUCACACAAUUCAAAAACUGUUACUUUUGUAUUUGGAGAUCAUUGAGAAGACAGAUUCUAAGGGGCGUGUGCUGCCCGAGAUGAUCCUAAUCUGCCAGAACUUGAGGAAUAAUUUGCAGCAUCCCAAUGAGUACCUUCGUGGAGCUACGUUGAGAUUUCUUUGCAGGCUGAAUGAGGUUGAUAUAAUUGAACCUCUAAUUCCAUCAAUUAUGAACAACUUGGAGCACCGACAUCCAUUUGUGAGGAGGAAUGCAAUUCUUGCUGUGAUGUCUGUUUACAAGCUCCCACAUGGUGAGCAGCUCCUGGUAGACGCACCAGAGAAGAUUGAGAAUCUCCUAACCACUGAGCAGGAUCCAUCGGCUAAGAGGAAUGCAUUUCUUAUG